GCAAAGGAGGAAUAGAU
rnacentral:misc_RNA from 1 species